rnacentral:rRNA from 1 species
CAUGCCAAUGGCACUGCCCGGUAGCUAAAUGCGGAAGAGAUAAGUGCUGAAAGCAUCUAAGCACGAAACUUGCCCCGAGAUGAGUUCUCCCUGAGACUUUAAGUCUCCUGAAGGAACGUUGAAGACGACGACGUUGAUAGGCCGGGUGUGUAAGCGCAGCGAUGCGUUGAGCUAACCGGUACUAAUGAACCGUGAGGCUUAACCUUACAACGCCGAAG